UGUGCUUGGAGAACUGUUUAUCUGUCUUGGCUUUGUAGCAGGUCCUGUGUUUUACAGGAGGACAAGCAGGGUUGUGAAGAAGUUAUUGAAAGCUUGGAGUAAGGAGAGUUGGGGCUGCAGGGAUGGGGCAGCUGCUGCAGAGCUGGUGCCACUGCCAGAGCAAAAUGUGAACUCUGAUUAAAGCGACAGCCCACUA